rnacentral:rRNA from 1 species
UACGUAGGGGGGCAAGCGUUGUCCGGAAUCAUUGGGCGUAAAGAGCGCGUAGGCGGCCCUGUAAGUCCGCUGUGAAAGUCAAAGGGCUCAACCCCUUGGAUGCCGGUGGAUACUGCAGGGCUAGAGUCCGGAAGAGGCGAGUGGAAUUCCUGGUGUAGCGGUGAAAUGCGCAGAUAUCAGGAGGAACACCGAUGGCGAAGGCAGCUCGCUGGGACGGUACUGACGCUGAGGCGCGAAAGCGUGGGGAGCAAACAGG